rnacentral:lncRNA from 1 species
CGAUCUGGCAACAGAGUGAGACUCCAUCUCAAAAAAAAAAUGUUUAUAGCACUAUUUGAUGUAUGUUUUCAGUGCUUAACACUAUGCCAGAGGAUGGAAAGAAUGGGUAACCUGUGAAUUUUCAGAGAAGAAACAAGGAAAUUGAAUUUUUGGAAUACAAGUUGGCUCUUUCCUUGUGUACAUGCAGCCUAGGAUAGUGGAAUGAGCAAAAUAUUAAAAAUCUAGUCCUGGCACCACUGGUUAUGGUAAGGGGAUUUUUGUAUAAGUCAAUUAGUUGUUGAAUCAUUUUCUCAUCUGUAAAUUGAAAAUGGCACUCUCCCCUGAGAUAAUGCAUGUUACUUGCCAUGGAAAUAUAAGGGUCAGGAUUCUAUGAAUUAAUUUUUAAGUAGCUUAGUAUCAUUCAAUAGUAUUCUAGGGUUCAAACAGUUCUCCUGCCUCAGCCUCCCAAGUAGCUGGGAAUACAGGUGCACACUGCCACAACUGGUUAAUUUUUUUUUUUUUUUUGAGGUGAAGUUUCAUUCUUGUUGCCCAGGCUGGAGUGCAAUGGCGCGAUCUCAGCUCACCACAACCUCCGCCUCCCGGGUUCAAGCAGUUCUCCUGACUCAGCCUCCUGAGUAGCUGGGAUUACAGGCACCUGCCACCACGCCUGGCUAAUUUUGUAUUUUUAGUAGAGAUGGGGUUUCUCCAUGUUGGCCAGGCUGGUCUCAAACUCCUGACCUCAGGUGAUCUGCCCACCUCGGCCUCCCAAAGUGCUGGGAUUACAGGUGUGAGCCACCGCGCCUGGCCACACCUGGCUAAUUUUUUGUAUUUUAGUAGAGAUAGGGUUUCACUGUGUUGCCCAGGCUGUUCUCGAACUCCUGAGCUCAGGCAGUCCGCCCGCCUCGGCCUCCCAAAGUGCUGGGAUUAUAGGCGUGAGCCACCACACCCGGCCAAUAAGGUAUUAUAAUGGCAGAAUGUGGUUGAAGUGAAUCCAAAUAAGGAUAAUAAUAGUUCCUACUUCACAGUAAAGUUUUGAAGAUUAAAUCAGAUAACAUGUCAAAUAUUUAAUACUUUGCUGCUAUUCUUACUGUGUGAAUAUGUACAAUAUGAUACCUGUUUGUA